rnacentral:rRNA from 1 species
GAGUUUGAUCUUGGCUCAGAUUGAACGCUGGCGGCAUGCCUUACACAUGCAAGUCGAACGGCAGCACGGGAGCUUGCUCCUGGUGGCGAGUGGCGAACGGGUGAGUAAUGCAUCGGAACGUAUCCUGGAGUGGGGGAUAACGUAGCGAAAGUUACGCUAAUACCGCAUAUUCUGUGAGCAGGAAAGCGGGGGACCUUCGGGCCUCGCGCUCUUGGAGCGGCCGAUGUCGGAUUAGCUAGUUGGUGAGGUAAAGGCUCACCAAGGCGACGAUCCGUAGCAGGUCUGAGAGGAUGAUCUGCCACACUGGAACUGAGACACGGUCCAGACUCCUACGGGAGGCAGCAGUGGGAAUUUUGGACAAUGGGGGCAACCCUGAUCCAGCCAUGCCGCGUGAGUGAAGAA